rnacentral:rRNA from 1 species
UACGUAGGGGGCGAGCGUUGUCCGGAGUUACUGGGCGUAAAGGGCAUGCAGGCGGUCAGGCGCGUUUUGUGUGACAGCGGAGGGCUUCACUCUCCGAGCAUACGAAAGACGGCGGCACUUGAGGGCCAGAGAGGGACACGGAAUUCCGGGUGGAGUGGUGAAAUGCGUAGAGAUCCGGAGGAACACCGAAGGCGAAGGCAGUGUCCUGGCUGGUGACUGACGCUGAGGUGCGAAAGCUAGGGGAGCGAACGGG